UACGAAGGGGGCUAGCGUUGCUCGGAAUCACUGGGCGUAAAGGGCGCGUAGGCGGCGGGGUAAGUCUGGUGUGAAAUCUCGGAGCUCAACUCCGAAAUUGCACUGGAUACUGCUCUGCUUGAGGGUUGGAGAGGAGAUCGGAAUUCACGGUGUAGCAGUGAAAUGCGUAGAUAUCGUGAGGAAGACCAGUGGCGAAGGCGGAUCUCUGGAACAAAUCCUGACGCUGAGGCGCGAAGGGCUAGGGGGAGCAAACGGG
rnacentral:rRNA from 1 species